AAUGACAAAGCCAAAAUUCAGGCCUUGCCCAAGCUGCCAAGUCCGUCAGCAGGCCAACCGCAAAAACAUGCAGUGCUUGUUUUGCCACACUGCCAAGCAAGCGGUUAUUAAAAACUGCAAAAAUUAAUGAUGACUGGGGCCAGAGGGUCGUCAAAAACAAAAAUGCAUCUCGGGUGGUGGCCUCUGCCCAAAUAGCUGUCCAAAAACUUUCUGCCUUGGGCUAUAUGCCCAUAUUAUUUAUCAGCCAGAGGCACAAGGGCACAGGCAAGUUGAUGGCAGAUGUAGUCACGCAUCUGCCACCGACGCAAAACAACACACGUUUCUUAACCAGCAUGAAGAGGGCAUAUGACUUCAUAAUCAAACUGGAUGGUAAGAUAAGUUUUAUGUAUAGUUCAUUAGUGGUUGUCGUUGAUUUCUUUGACAAUGUGUACUGAAUUUAUAUUUUUGCUAACUUCACAACAGAUGUGCCCCAGCCCCAGCCCCAGCAAGACCAGCCCCUCCACCUAGACCAACCCCUACCCCAAGACCAGCCCCCUGCCCCUAGACCAGCUAAUCCCCACAAGACCAGCCCCCAGACCAGCCCCAGCAAGACCAGCCCCUAGACCAGCCCCAGCAAGACCAGCCCCUGCCCCUAGACCAGCUAAUCCCACAAGACCAGCCCCAGCAAGACCAGCCCCUGCCCCUAGACCAGCUAAUCCCACAAGACCAGCCUACCCCAACAGACCAGCAAAUUAUUAAACUUGAACUAUUUACGAUCGACUCACAGGCUCAGCAGCAUGUGGAGCCUCUACCACCCAGGAAAAGACAAACCCCACUAUCCACCCCGGGCCUACCAUCCACCCCAGGCCAAGGCAAACGAGCCCCACCAUCCAUCCAACCUCAACUAAAGAAAAGACAAACCACAGGUAAAGGAGCCACACAAGCCCCACCCUCUACCCUGGCCAAAAAGAAGAAAACAAAAAGUUGCAAAUGCAGUCGACAGACAAUUUAUCCAUACGAUAAAAUAUUGGAAAGACGGAUGAAUGGGGGGAAGGCAGCAGAGGUCAAAGUGCACUGGCUACCUUGCUCUUCCUGGUAAGUGAUGGCUGAUGUAAUUUAAUCCAUAGCUCCACA
ensembl:lncRNA